rnacentral:pre_miRNA from 1 species
GUGAGAUGGCAUUAGCGUUUGAACAUAUGAUUUCACGCUGAUUCUAUCUCAUGA